UUUAUCAUUAAUCCCCAAAAUUAAUAUGUUAAUUAAACUACCUCCU
rnacentral:tRNA from 1 species